ACCGGGUUUUGGGUGGGGCGACAGGGAAGGAGGAGGCAGGUUGAAGAAAGUAAGAGAAAAUCUGGCACCUACCAAAGCGCUCUGCUUCUAUUUGCACAAAAUGAGACAAGACUAGCCUGUACUAAUUACUCUCAGAAGGGGAAACAGGGUUUCUGCUCCUUGCUCCCUAGCCGUUUUCUCUCCCUCUCUUUUUACCUUCUCACUGUUUUUGUCUGUUUCCUUUUGCUCUGCGGUUUCCACCGCGCCAGAGUAUCGACCCCGGAUGGCUUCGGCGGGGUACCCCGCGGCAGAACAGGGGGUAUUGGGGGCUGCGCUGGGGGCACCGCGCGCUGCACUUGCAGAGCCGCCCGGACCGCGGCUAAAGGACAGGAGCGCAGAGGCCCCAGUGAUCCAUCAGGGCGGCUGCAAGCGGGAAGACGCUUCAUCUCAUCCCUAGAUGGCAGCAGGAUUCUGAAGCUGGAGCAGCCCUGGGCAGCCCUUUCUGGUCUGUUUUCCUGAACAGAUUGCCAGGGGAUACGGCGGCUAAACAGUCGGGCGCCUCCCCGGAGUGCAGCACCGGCAGAAGAGCGACCCGGACAGACGCCGCUGGCGAGGCUUCAGGGGUCAGUACUUCAGCCUGGACAUCACGUCCUCUCUUUUUGCACACAGAUGUGCUACUGUGUAAAAACACACAAACAAAAACAGGGGAGUUCAGCUUCUUGGAGAAUGUGUCAUGGUCAAGACCAGUGAUUCUGGACAGUGACAAAAGUCCUGGAGGUCUGAGUGCACAGAGGACACACGCACAGAUACACAUGAACUCGUGAGGAAACACUGGACUUCUCUGCCAGGGACCAGGCCGGCCAUGCAGGAAGGCAGCAGGAGGUGAAGACGGAGACUUUAGCUCCAGCUUCACUGCCAUCCAGCCUUGCAUUUUGAGGGAAGGUUUGUUCUGUCCCUGAGCUUCAGUUAUUUCAUCUGUAAAAUUGGGGUUACUAUAGUUCUCAGCUCUGUGUACAUCCAAAAAACUGUUAGGAUUAUCAAGAGGAAUAAAGAAGGGGGAAAAAAUCACUUUGGCAGGCACAAGCUCACUGCUGCAGCUCUUAGCCUGGCCCAGGCAUUUUCCUUCAGAAGAAGCUUCCGAACGGUGCUAGAGUAUGUAUUUUGAUCAGCCAGAAAUUACUUAUUUAAAAACAAAAGGCAGAGGUUGUUUCACGACUUAAAAGCUGAGGACUUUUAUUUGCAAACCAUUUCUCUUCUCCACACCCAGUCCCCCAUCGUGGACCUUGGAAAUCCUAUACAUCAGAAAUCUUUAUCACCAGAAACUACACACAGCAGCCCAAUAGCUGCAUCCCCAAGGGCCCCAGGAUUAAAUAGGAAGAGCUGAAACAACUCUGGUUGGAGUAUGUAAUAUUGGAAAAAGUUACUGUUAACAUGGCAUCUAACAUACUGUGUGAGUCAGAAAAUUUUCUCACCAAGUCUGACUCAGAGGGAAAAAAAAAAAUCAAAGAUUAAAAAAACAUCCCUCGUAUUAUGUAUAGGACAUUUUGCCCGUUUUCUAUGAGUUCUGUUAUCUUCUGGCACCAUGGCAACCUUUGUCACACAAGGAACAGGAGGACAAAGGUGACAGAUGCUUACCUCAUUUUUUUUUUUUUUUUGUCUGGGGUCGUGUUUCUUUCACUCUCAAUGAUUCAAAAUUUCAGCAAAUGUACCAGGGCCAGUAAUACUUCCUCCUGACCCUGACCCCAGGAAUGAUGUAAUAUGUGUAAAAUCUUAAGGAAUCUCGGUUAUUAACACCAAAUAGAGUAGAGCUUCAUAGUCUACAACUUUGCUUACUGGGGGUUUUUUGGGACUCAAAGUAAAGCUGUUUCACAAUGAUAAGAAGGUGGGAGAAGGGAGAAGAAAAGAAGAUCAUAUACAAAAGUCUAGCCAUUGAGUUAUCCUUCCUUAAAAACAUUAUGCCAGAUCAAGGGGCAGAAAGCAGAGUUGAAGUUUUUCUGUCAUUUGAUUUCUUCCCCUGUUCUGUUUGAGUAUUAGGUCUAAUUUGAACUAUUAUUAGCUCUAGCCUCCUGUAGCAUCAACCCCAUAAAUAUGAUCAUAUCAGUAAUUCCAGCAGUCUCAUACUACACUGUUGACUCGCCACAUCACCUCAUCUUAUAGCUUUCUAAUAGUCUCUCUCAUUUUGCCAAUUCUUCAACCUCAUAAAGUCCUCUGCUUCAAUGAUCCCUCACACUAUCCUGAAAAUCAGCUUCUCAUUGUUCCUCACCUUGCUCUUUCCAUAAGCCUUGCCAACCUGACCCCCAAGCUUGAUCACCUGAAUCAUUCUUACUAAACAUCUCCCCACCUUCUCUUCUGGAAAAACCCUAACUGGAAUCUUAUAAAGAGGACAGAAAAAAAUCAAAACUGCAAUCUGCAUUCUUUCCUCCUAUAACCAGGGAACAAGACAAUGUUGGUGGAAAUCAUACAGCCUUGCUUAUUGUUGUCAAUAAAUUCAUU
rnacentral:lncRNA from 1 species